UGCAGUCGAGCGGACGGAUGGGAGCUUGCUCCCUGAAGUCAGCGGCGGACCCGUUAGUACACGUGGGCAACCUGCCUGUAAGACUGGGAUACCCUCGGGAAACCGGAGCUAAUACCGGAUAAUGCACAGCCUCUCAUGAGGCUAUGCUGAAAGAUGGUUUCGGCUAUCACUUACAGAUGGGCCCGCGGCGCAUUAGCUAGUUGGUGAGGUAACGGCUCACCAAGGCAACGAUGCGUAGCCGACCUGAGAGGGUGAUCGGCCACACUGGGACUGAGACACGGCCCAGACUCCUACGGGAGGCAGCAGUAGGGAAUCUUCCGCAAUGGACGAAAGUCUGACGGAGCAACGCCGCGUGAGUGAUGAAGGUUUUCGGAUCGUAAAACUCUGUUGUCAGGGAAUAACAAGUGCCGGAGUAACUGCCGGCACCUUGACGGUACCUGACCAGAAAGCCACGGCUAACUACGUGCCAGCAGCCGCGGUAAUACGUAGGUGGCAAGCGUUGUCCGGAAUUAUUGGGCGUAAAGCGCGCGCAGGCGGUCUCUUAAGUCUGAUGUGAAAGCCCACGGCUCAACCGUGGAGGGUCAUUGGAAA
rnacentral:rRNA from 1 species